GCGGCGGUAGUUCAGUUGGUUAGAAUAUCGGCCUGUCACGCCGGGGGUCGCGGGUUCGAGCCCCGUCCGCCGCGCCA
rnacentral:tRNA from 8 species